rnacentral:rRNA from 1 species
GUGAGGAAUAUUGGACAAUGGCCGGAAGGCUGAUCCAGCCAUGCCGCGUGAAGGAUAAGGUCCUAUGGAUUGUAAACUUCUUUUGAGAGGGAGCAAUAAGGUGUACGCGUACACCGAUGAGAGUACCUUUCGAAUAAGCAUCGGCUAACUCCGUGCCAGCAGCCGCGGUAAUACGGAGGAUGCGAGCGUUAUCCGGAUUUAUUGGGUUUAAAGGGUGCGUAGGCGGUUUUUUAAGUCAGCGGUGAAACGCAAGGGCUCAACCCUUGACCUGCCGUUGAAACUGGAGGACUUGAAUGCGGAUGCUGUGGGAGGAAUGUGUGGUGUAGCGGUGAAAUGCAUAGAUAUCACACAGAACACCGAUUGCGAAGGCAUCUCACAAAUCCGUGAUUGACGCUGAGGCACGAAAGUGUGGGGAUCAAACAGG